rnacentral:rRNA from 1 species
UACGGAGGGAGCUAGCGUUGUUCGGAAUUACUGGGCGUAAAGCGCGCGUAGGCGGCUUUGUAAGUUAGAGGUGAAAGCCCGGGGCUCAACUCCGGAACUGCCUUUAAGACUGCAUCGCUUGAAUCCGGGAGAGGUGAGUGGAAUUCCGAGUGUAGAGGUGAAAUUCGUAGAUAUUGGGAAGAACACCAGUGGCGAAGGCGGCUCACUGGACCGUAACUGACGCUCAUGCACGACAGCGUGGGGAUCAAACAGG